rnacentral:rRNA from 1 species
GCAUGUAGGAGCUACCAUGCAGUCGAGCGGUAGCACAGAGAGCUUGCUCUCGGGUGACGAGCGGCGGACGGGUGAGUAAUGUCUGGGAAACUGCCUGAUGGAGGGGGAUAACUACUGGAAACGGUAGCUAAUACCGCAUAACGUCGCAAGACCAAAGUGGGGGACCUUCGGGCCUCAUGCCAUCAGAUGUGCCCAGAUGGGAUUAGCUAGUAGGUGGGGUAACGGCUCACCUAGGCGACGAUCCCUAGCUGGUCUGAGAGGAUGACCAGCCACACUGGAACUGAGACACGGUCCAGACUCCUACGGGAGGCAGCAGUGGGGAAUAUUGCACAAUGGGCGCAAGCCUGAUGCAGCCAUGCCGCGUGUAUGAAGAAGGCCUUCGGGUUGUAAAGUACUUUCAGCGGGGAGGAAGGCGAUAAGGUUAAUAACCUUGUCGAUUGACGUUACCCGCAGAAGAAGCACCGGCUAACUCCGUGCCAGCAGCCGCGGUAAUACGGAGGGUGCAAGCGUUAAUCGGAAUUACUGGGCGUAAAGCGCACGCAGGCGGUCUGUCAAGUCGGAUGUGAAAUCCCCGGGCUCAACCUGGGAACUGCAUUCGAAACUGGCAGGCUAGAGUCUUGUAGAGGGGGGUAGAAUUCCAGGUGUAGCGGUGAAAUGCGUAGAGAUCUGGAGGAAUACCGGUGGCGAAGGCGGCCCCCUGGACAAAGACUGACGCUCAGGUGCGAAAGCGUGGGGAGCAAACAGGAUUAGAUACCCUGGUAGUCCACGCCGUAAACGAUGUCGAUUUGGAGGUUGUGCCCUUGAGGCGUGGCUUCCGGAGCUAACGCGUUAAAUCGACCGCCUGGGGAGUACGGCCGCAAGGUUAAAACUCAAAUGAAUUGACGGGGGCCCGCACAAGCGGUGGAGCAUGUGGUUUAAUUCGAUGCAACGCGAAGAACCUUACCUGGUCUUGACAUCCACAGAACUUGCCAGAGAUGGCCUUGGUGCCUUCGGGAACUGUGAGACAGGUGCUUGCAUGGCUGUCGUCAGCUCGUGUUGUGAAAUGUUUGGGGUUAAGUCCCGCAACGAGCGCAACCCUUAUCCCUUUGUUGCCAGCGGGUUAGGCCGGGAAACUCAAAGGAGACUGC